rnacentral:rRNA from 1 species
CGCAUCUGUGCAUGCAGCAUAUCAAUAAGCGGAGGAAAAGGAGUAUACCUACGCUUAGGAUGUUGAAGAUGUAGCACAUCAUACACGCAUCUGUACAUGCAGCAUAUCAAUAAGCGGAGGAAAAGGAAACCUAACAAGGAUUCCCCUAGUAACGGCGAGUGAAGCGGGAAGAGCUCAAAUUUGAAAUCUUAAAGGGUUUCCCUUUACGAAUUGUAGUUUAAAGAAGUGUUUUCUGUUGAGGUUUUGGUAAAAGUUCUUUGGAAUAGGACAUCAUAGAGGGUGAGAAUCCCGUAUUUGACCUUUACUUUCAACUUUGUGAUACACUUUCAAAGAGUCGGAUUGUUUGGGAAUGCAGUCCAAAAUGGGUGGUAAAUUUCAUCUAAAGCUAAAUAUUGGCGAGAGACCGAUAGCGAACAAGUACCGUGAGGGAAAGAUGAAAAGAACUUUGACAAGAGAGUUAAACAGUACGCGAAAUUGUCAAAAGGGAAGCGUUUGACACCAGUGUUGUUUUUCUGAAAAUCAAUUAAAGAACUGUUUAUGCUAAGUUGUUUAGACUUUAUCAGCUAACUGUUUAGUUUUGAGCUUUUCUUUAAUGCACUUUUCAGUUAACAAGUCAACAUCAAUUUCUUUUGCUGUAAAAAAGCUUGAGGAAGGUGGCUUGAGAUUCGUCUUAAGUGUUUAUAGCCUCUUGCCUAUGCAGUCGGAGAGAUUGAGGUCUGCAGCGUAGAUCCUUCGGGGCUAAAUGCAUUUGUGCUAAGUUAUAGCAUUUUAUAGACAACUUGUUGACUAUGAUUUGUCUUGUAGCUUACUCGCUUAUGUUAUUUUACCUACGCUUAGGAUGUUGAAGAGUAGCACAUCAU